GACGAACCGUACGAACGUUAUUCGGAAUUACUGGGCUUAAAGGGUGCGUAGGCGGUACGGCAAGUUGGAUGUGAAAUACCUCGGCUUAACCGAGGAACUGCGUUCAAAACUGCCGUGCUUGAGUGAGACAGAGGUAAGCGGAACUUAGGGUGGAGCGGUGAAAUGCGUUGAUAUCCUAAGGAACACCGGUGGCGAAAGCGGCUUACUGGGUCUCAACUGACGCUGAGGCACGAAAGCUAGGGUAGCGAACGGG
rnacentral:misc_RNA from 1 species